GAUCGUACCGUAAGUAAACACACGUGAUUGCAAUUGGUGGAAAUUUGUAAAAGUACCUUUAUACGUCAAUGGCCUUUUGAAAUUUCGGAGCUCGUGUGGAAUCAAAAUAAAUUUCUACUCAAAUGAAUUCUUUACACCGUGUAUUUGUAUAUGGAACAUUAAAACGUGGAGAACCGAAUCAUAAAAUAAUUGAAAACACAAACAAUGGCAAUGCAAAAUUUAUAGGUUCUGGAAAAACAAUUGCAAAAUAUCCAUUGAUAAUUGCAACAAAAUUUAAUAUACCAUUUUUAUUGAAAAAAUCGGGAAUUGGUCAUCAAAUAACAGGAGAAAUUUACGAUGUUGAUUCUGAGAUGUUGAAAAAAUUAGACGAAUUAGAGGAACAUCCCAAUUUUUAUAUUAGAACGGAAGAAAAUAUUCUCUUAAAUUCACAGGAUCAGAAUAUCGCAGAUACAAUUUUAAAUGAGAAUACCAAUUUAAUAAAAGCGUGGAUAUAUUUUUUACCAAAUUUUAAAACUGAAUUACUUGAACAAGAAAUGUAUUCCUCAUACAGCAAUGAAGGAAGUCACGGUUUAAAAUAUGCAGAAAGGUAUCUACGAGAUAUUUCCUAUAAUCAUCGAACAGAAGUUAUUGCAUAUGACAUUUAAAUUUUUUAUAUUUUCUUAUUUUCAUCAUUGUUCUUCAAUUACAUUUCAUUAGGUGAAAACGAGUUCGCAAAACCAGAAGAUGUUUCCUGAAAAAAAAAAUUUACUAUUUAAAAAAAAAAGGUUUCAACUUGAAAAAGAAAGCUUUCAAAUCAGGUUGAAAUUUCUUUUAAUAACAAAAACAUUUACAGAAAAUUAACCACCGUUUUUGUUUUUUUUUUUUGUCAAAUGACGAAUAAUAAACUAAAAAAUUUAAUUUUCAAAUCGAUUUUUCGCUGAGCUAAUUUAUCCGAAAUUUAUAUUAUAAUUUAAGGAUAUUAUAUAAAUGUGCUUAUUCGUUUUUUGUUUUUUUUAUAAAAAGACAUUAUUUUACAUUUGAUAGUUUAUUAUUUGAGAAUUUUUCGUCACAUGCUUGCAUCACAUACACUCGUUCGCACUUUCUGUCAUUCUGUCGUUUUCACUCAACAGGAGUAAUUAAAAUUAAAAAUAUAUUUCAACAACUCCGUAAAAAAAAUUAUUAUGUUCAGCAAACGACAAUUAAUCAGAAAUUUCAAUUCGAGAAUGAUCGUUUUUCUAAGAAAAGCAAUAUUGACAAAUUCGGUGGAUCGCAAAAGAGUACUGGAUUUUGGAAAAAAAAAAAAAUCUAUUACAAUAAUUUAAAAGAGAAAAAGACAUAGUACACAAUACAAUAAUAAUUUGGAUUACAAAUGCAAAUAGUCGCAGGCAGUGAAGAACAAUAAUUUUUUUUAAACUGGGUGCAAUUAUUUUUUUUUUUUAAUAGGGAAGAACUCCUUUUUGUUCCUUUAUCAAGCACCGCGACGAUUAUCCAGUUACUUUUUUUUUCUCCCUUUAUAUAAAUAGGCGCACUUUAAAGAUUUUUCUUCAUAAAUAAUUACAAAUUCCUUUUCCUAUAUAAGAGUCCCAACCUUGGCCUGGCUUCGUACCCUUCUUUUCAAUGUUCUAUGUAGAAUAGCACCCCAAAAAUAUUAUCCAUAAAAAAAAUCUCUUCGCAUAGUCUCACACAACACGUGCCACUUUUAAAACAAAGAAAAAAAAAAAGAAAA